rnacentral:rRNA from 1 species
UACGUAGGGUGCAAGCGUUGUCCGGAAUUAUUGGGCGUAAAGAGCUCGUAGGCGGUUUGUCGCGUCUGCUGUGAAAACCCGAGGCUCAACCUCGGGCCUGCAGUGGGUACGGGCAGACUAGAGUGCGGUAGGGGAGAUUGGAAUUCCUGGUGUAGCGGUGGAAUGCGCAGAUAUCAGGAGGAACACCAAUGGCGAAGGCAGAUCUCUGGGCCGUAACUUACUCUGAGGAGCGAAAGCAUUGGGAGCGAACAGG